UACGUAGGGGGCGAGCGUUGUCCGGAAUCAUUGGGCGUAAAGCGCGUGUAGGCGGCCCGGUAAGUCCGCUGUGAAAGUCCAGGGCUCAACCCUGGGAUGCCGGUGGAUACUGUCGGGCUCGAGUCCGGAAGAGGCGAGUGGAAUUCCUGGUGUAGCGGUGAAAUGCGCAGAUAUCAGGAGGAACACCAAUGGCGAAGGCAGCUCGCUGGGACAUGACUGACGCUGAGACGCGAAAGCGUGGGGAGCAAACAGG
rnacentral:rRNA from 1 species